CCGCGGGAUUAGAGUUUGAUCCUGGCUCAGGACGAACGCUGGCGGCGUGCUUAACACAUGCAAGUCAAGGGGGCCCGCAAGGGCAACCGGCGAACGGGUGCGUAACACGUGAGCAACCUGCCUAAAUGUGGGGGAUAGCCGGCCCAACGGCCGGGUAAUACCGCAUACGCUCUCUGGGUGGCAUCACCUGGUGAGGAAACCUACGGGCAUUUAGAGGGGCUCGCGGCCUAUCAGCUAGUUGGUGGGGUAAUGGCCUACCAAGGCAUCGACGGGUAGCUGGUCUGAGAGGAUGGCCAGCCACAUUGGGACUGAGAUACGGCCCAGACUCCUACGGGAGGCAGCAGUGGGGAAUAUUGCGCAAUGGGCGAAAGCCUGACGCAGCGACGCCGCGUGGGGGAUGAAGCAUUUCGGUGUGUAAACCCCUGUUGCUCGGGACGAAAAACUGGUUCUGACCAGUCUGACGGUACCGGGUGAGGAAGCACCGGCUAACUCCGUGCCAGCAGCCGCGGUAAUACGGAGGGUGCGAGCGUUGUCCGGAAUCACUGGGCGUAAAGGGCGCGUAGGCGGUCUGUUAAGCGUGUGGUGAAAGCUCGGGGCUCAACCCCGAGUCUGCCAUGCGAACUGGUGGACUUGAGCACUGUAGAGGCAGGUGGAAUUCCGGGUGUAGCGGUGGAAUGCGUAGAGAUCCGGAAGAACACCGGUGGCGAAGGCGGCCUACUGGGCAGUUGCUGACGCUGAGGCGCGACAGCGUGGGGAGCAAACAGGAUUAGAUACCCUGGUAGUCCACGCCGUAAACGAUGGGCACUAGGUGCUUGGGGGAGCGACCCCCCGAGUGCCGGCGCUAACGCAUU
rnacentral:rRNA from 1 species